UCGCAAGCCUUCCAGCAUGACUCGGUUUGUCUCAUGGCCUUGAUCAUUCCUGUAGAGCUUGCAAGAGCAGAUCUGUGAUGGUUUGAGGCUUCUUCCUGGUCCAUCUUCGGGGAGAAGUUAUAGAAAUCUCAGACAAGC
rnacentral:snoRNA from 1 species